rnacentral:rRNA from 1 species
UCUAACAUGUGCGCGAGUCAUUGGGUGUUACGAAACCUAGAGGCGCAGUGAAAGCAAAGGUCGAUCCUCGCGGUCGACUCGGGUAGGAUCCCUCGUCGUUUCGGUGGCGGGGGCGCACUACCGGCCCGUCUCGAACACAGCGUUGUUGAGGCGGAGCAAGAGCGUACACGUUGGGACCCGAAAGAUGGUGAACUAUGCCCGAGUAGGACGAAGCCAGAGGAAACUCUGGUGGAGGUCCGCAGCGAUUCUGACGUGCAAAUCGAUCGUCAAACUUGGGUAUAGGGGCGAAAGACUAAUCG